GGAAGGCUGGCGCGGACGGACGUCUCGCCAACCCGGUCAGAUCGGGAACGAAGCAGCCGUAACGAGUUUUGUUCGGGUCGCUGUCCAGUCUUCCACC
rnacentral:SRP_RNA from 2 species